GUGAGACCAACACGGAAAAGAUGCAGGAGUUUUGGUUAUGUAGAAAAAUGUGACGAGUUUGACUUUGAUGAUUCAGAUUUAGAUCCAGAUUAUGAUGAUGGCAAACAGAGGAAAAAGAGUCGAUAUAUUGACAGUGACAGUGACAGUGACAGUGAGCCUACAAAAAAGUCUGCAUUGGGUCCAAAGAAGAAAUGGAGUGACAAAGAAAAAUCAGAGUUGAGUGAGCUGGUAUCGAAGUCAGUUGUCAACAAAAAGCCACCCAAAAAGGCUGAAGUGCAGAAAUUACAAGCGCAUAGCAGUGUGCUGAAAUCCAUCAAAUGGAUAAAAAUAAAACACCAAGUGCAAAAAAUACGCUGUGCAGAAAAACUUCUGCAAAAGUCUUAGAUAUAUGUUACAGACUUUAAAACUCCAGUGAUGCACAAGUGAGCUUUUGUGAUCGGCCAUACAUCUAUAAACUUUACUACAUACUUCAAGUAACAUGUCCUGGUAAACCACUGGGCAACAGUUUCAAGAGAACUGAACAGGAAUAACAUAGGCUAAAUCUUGACCAAAGUUACACAAUGAAGACAAUUCCUUGCAGAUCUCCAGUUGUCAUGGCAGCCAAAAGCAAAAAAAAAGAAAAAUUAAAUCUUAAACAAAGUACACCAAAUUUUAUGUAUAUAUGUUAGUGAGCUUGUUAUUUUACCACUUUCAGUAACAGUUAAAAGUAGAAUUUUGAACUUUUGGUCUAAACUCAUAAAUUCCAAAGAGCAGAAGAUUUGUAAUAUUCUAUACACAGGACUUCAUACGAGCUUCUACUCAAUGAAAAUGUUCAUCCUAGUUGGAUUUGUUUUAUACAUGA